AAAAUCCGUCGACUUUAGAAAUCGUGAGGC
rnacentral:tRNA from 1 species